rnacentral:misc_RNA from 1 species
GGCUGAUCAGGAUUUCCAAUGCGACUGCUGGUCGUAGAGAAGGGAGGGGCAUGGUGCUCCCAACCAUGAUAAUGGAGAUCCAUGGCAGGGAAAGCAUAGGAACUAGGAAUCUCACUAGGCACUGAUGGACCAUUCCAGUGAUUAUUAAAAUUCGAACCAUCUGAAACACUUCCACUGGAGUUGGAAGUUGAUGGAUGAAUUGGUCCAAAAUAAGCAA